rnacentral:lncRNA from 1 species
CUAAUUACAAUAUCCGAGAAGUUGAAUAUUUAAUUAGGACUAAUUAUCUAAUUAGGCGGAACGCAUAAAAUAGUUUGAGUAUCUGCAAGCGAUGGCAAACUUUACCUUGAUCUGUCCAGCUACGCAGCAUUUGGAUGUUGAAGAUGUUUGG